UGUAACACCCCCGAACCGUCCUA
rnacentral:siRNA from 1 species